rnacentral:rRNA from 1 species
GACGAACGCUGGCGGCGUGCUUAACACAUGCAAGUCGAGCGGUAAGGCCCUUUCGGGGGUACGACGAGCGGCGAACGGGUGAGUAACACGUGGGUGACCUGCCCUCAGCUCUGGGAUAAGCCCGGGAAACUGGGUCUAAUACCGGAUAUGACUCCACGGUGCAUGUCGUGGGGUGGAAAGCCUUGUGCGGCUGAGGAUGGGCCCGCGGCCUAUCAGCUUGUUGGUGGGGUGAUGGCCACCAAGGCGACGACGGUAGCCGGCCUGAGAGGGCGACCGGCCACACUGGGACUGAGACACGGCCCAGACUCCUACGGGAGGCAGCAGUGGGGAAUCUUGCGCAAUGGGCGAAAGCCUGACGCAGCGACGCCGCGU